rnacentral:rRNA from 1 species
UACGUAGGGGGCGAGCGUUAUCCGGAAUUACUGGGCGUAAAGCGCACGUAGGCGGCUUUGUAAGUUAGAGGUGAAAGCCUGGAGCUCAACUCCAGAAUUGCCUUUAAGACUGCAUCGCUUGAAUCCAGGAGAGGUGAGUGGAAUUCCGAGUGUAGAGGUGAAAUUCGUAGAUAUUCGGAAGAACACCAGUGGCGAAGGCGGCUCACUGGACUGGUAUUGACGCUGAGGUGCGAAAGCGUGGGGAGCAAACAGG